GUUCAGUGGGCGGCCUGAGGCGAAGAGCUGCUUGCCGCCGCCUGCUAGGUUGCGCGCGCACUUCAGGCCUUGCGGGCAUGUCCAGCUCUUCUGUGGCUUCCAGCAGGCGAGGCCAAACAGGAUCUUUCUCACUUCCCUACAUCUCCUGGAUCCUGGAGCUGAUGCAGUCAGGUCCCGUGCUCACCGGGGGAACCGGCGAGCCUCUCCAAAGUAUUAAAGGACACUUCCGGAAGAGCCUUUGGCCUGUGGUCAGCCCGCAGACAUCGGUGGUCUCUGUACCUGUAGGAGCCCCAUGAGGGUCCAGGUGUGGGAGACAGUCCUGGGACAGGGCUUCUGCGGCCGAGGCAGGUGGGCAGGCACUCCAGGGGAGCUGCUGUAAAAGGUUCCUGACCAAGCUGGUGCUUCUGCGUGUGUUCCUGCAUGACUUGGUGUGUCCCCUUCUCUUGGAUCUACUGCAGUUGACAGCAGAUAACUGAAAGCUCGGAAAGCGAAACCGUGGAUAAGCAGGGGAACUGUGGCAUCCCAUUUAAAAUUGCUUCUGAAGAGAAGCAUGAGGUUACAUCUGUAAUCUCCCUGCAGCAGAGUCAACUGCAUAAGAAACCAAAAGACACACCUGCUCCAUGCCAGCUUCGAUAAUUUCUUUGUACCUUCGGCGAAAGAAGCCCAUCUGAAAGGCAGAAAGAAAGAGGAGAAGCUGAGUUAGAAGUGCUGAAGAAUCAGCCAUUGUGACCCCAAGGCAGUCUGUCCCUGGGUAGGUGUGACCUGCACUCACAGGGCUGGGGAGGCUUGGAGGACCCCUCGGAUUAGAGAAAACACUGGCAAGAAAAACAUCCGGUGGAGACAUUUUUCAAAAUGCAUGGACUUCCUGCGGGUGAUAUUAGGUUUUCCUGAGAUCACCUUCCAAAUAAAUGACUUGCCCUCAAAUCAUUGUUUCAAUCCCCUUGAAUAGAGGAAAUCAAACAGAGACACACACUUGACCUGGUGCUGGUAGGCUUGCCACACUGCAGGUUGUGGUACCAUGGUAUCAUCAGCUUGCAAUUCCCAAGUCAUAUUGGAAAACCCUCAAGACUCUUUGCAGUCUGCUGCCAACAGUGCAUGCACAUAUAAGACGUGUCCUACACAAAUCAUGAAGCAAACCCAGCUGUCAUGGGCACAUCAAAUGUUUUUGUUGUCUGUAUUUGUCCUCAGGCUUCUUCACUGUGAGCCAAACAUCCAGGGAAGCAUCACAGCCACCCUGAUGGUCAUAAGCUCCCCUGAAGAAGGGAAGGCAGGUGGACCUGAGGAGCUGUCUGUUGCCACCAUCUUUCUACUUCCCUAAAGGGGGCUUAUUGGCCAAGCCAAAGACGAGAACUGUCAAGAGAGCCAGCAGGUAUCUUCACCCACGUUGCCAAGGAGAUCCUGAGCAUUCACUGUGAGGGGAAGUCGAUAAGGUGGUGCAGUUUGAAUGACUGGGAAAGAGCAGAAGCUUUCUUAGAACAACUGGCAAGAGUCUUGUGUUCUGAGCUUCAAUCCUCAAGGCCAGUUUUGUAAACAGAUAUUGAGUUCCUGGUGAUUUCAGCCCUGGAGGUUUCUUCCCAGCAUAAGACCACAUUCAUCAGAAUGCCACGUUCUGACGCCCCCACACAUAUACUUUUCUCUCCUGAAACCUCUUCACCUUCUCCCCUCUGCAAGAGAUGUGGAAAAGGUGCUUGGCCAGAAUUUUCUGGAUAAUUAAGAAAAAGUCAUAGACAUCAUCCCCACAGCACACCCACAGAAGGCCAGAAAAACGGACCAAGACUGAAUGGAAAUCUAAGAAGCUACUGCUUGAAAUGUCAUUCUUUUGCGAUAAAGGUGUGGUUGGCCAAGAAAACAUGACCAGAUGUGGCUGGUCACAUGCCAUGAAGGAGAAUGUAAUCAUGAAACUGUGGAAGGAUGUAACAGGGAAAUAAGAUUCUCUAGCACAUACCUUUGGCUGCUGAUGUUGUAAUGUGUCAAUAAUCCCAGGUCACUCAGUUGUAAUUCCAGAGAAGUCACAUUUCCCUACCAUGGCACUAUCAAGCAGAAACUUAACAGUCUGCCCUCUUAUUAUCUCCUGCAUUUGUCUUAGGACUCCUUGAAGGCAGGCUUUGUGCUUUCAAUCCCCAGUACUCAGCAUCUCACCUGUCCUUGGUACCAGCGAUAAAUUGCAAAGAUGCCCACAUACCCUCCACACCCUUUACCAUGUGACUCUCCAGCUCUUCCCAUCAUGAGGUGGAGUCUAUUUUCCCAGCCUUGAUUCUCCACUGAGACUAGCUUUGACAAUUGGAUGAGAGGGAGGAGAUGUUGUGUCUGUUACACACUUAGUCCCCAAGGGGCUGUGCACACUUCCAAUUACUUUCUCAGAACCCUGCCCUGCUUCCACACAAAUGCCUUUGUCUAACCUGCUAAGAGACCAGUUUUUUUUUGAAGCCCUCCCAGACUAGCCAACUCCCAGCUGCCCGCAGAGGCUCUUGUAAGUCUCGCUGAGCUCAAACUGCCCCACUGAGCUCAGUCCAAAUAGCCAACCCACAGAACUGUGACCUGCAUAGAUGGAUAUUGCUUUUAAGCCGCUCAAUACUGGGGUGGUUUGUCAUGUAGCAUAAGUUAACUGGUACAGACUCAAUAUUUUUUUUGCUGACUUAAUGAAUCAGACAGACAGCUGAUAGGGCUCUAGAUUUAAACAGCAUCAGUUAGUGUGCCUUGCGGAACUGGACUUUUCACUUUUUUUUUUUUUUUUGAGACAGUGUCUCACUCUGUCACCCAGGCUGGAGUGCAAUGGCAUCAUCUCGGCUCACUGCAACCUCUGCCUCCCAGGUUCAAGUGAUUCUCCUGCCUCAGCCUCUCGAGUAGCUGGGACUGCAGGCAUGUACCACCCUGCCCAGCUAAUUUUCAUAUUUUUAGUAGAGACGGGGUUUCAUCUUGUUGGCCAGGCUGGUCUCAAACUCCUGACAUCAAGUGAUCCGCCUGCCUUGGCUUCCCAAAGCGCUGGGAUUACAGGCGUGAGCCACCGCGCCCGGCCUGAACCAGACUUCUCUUGUUCAUCUCUAAGAGCAAAAGCUGGCUCACUUUCUCAUCACUAUGCUAGUGUAAGGAUUUGAUAUAGACAGUGUGUUAACAAUCUGGAAAGGAUUUAGAGCACCUGAACUCACUCUUACAUGUGGCUUUCAUGUGCUCAAGUUUUUAUGUAUGCAAUUCUUGCUAACAACAAGGUGAAGGCACUGUCAUCUCUUGCAGGCACCCGGAAGCAAGCUUCUUUCUCUCAGUGGAGUGGUGUCAGCAUUAGGCCUGAAAAUCACCCCCACCCACCCCUGGCUGAAACAGCCUUGCAAGCUCUAUGCCCCACUCUAACACUGCAGGGUCUCUAGUCCUGUUCCUAACACAGCCUAUGCGUAAUCUCUUGGAUGGGAGGUCAGAGCUACCAUUGAUGUAUGUCUUCCUUCUUUUUAGAAUCUGAAGACCAUUUCUUAAAACAUAACGCACUCUCAUGGCUAGGGAGUUGUAGGUACAGUAGUGCAGGUGCUACACUGCAUUUAAGGGGCUGGGGGAUACCACUCACAUCACAGAUAUCAUGUAUGUGUAUAAGUUUAUUAUAACUGUUUUCCAACAGAUGGCAGUAGAGUGUCUUGUUCUCAUAAAAUCAGAGUUUUCUGAAUUUUUUCUGACAGACGGAAGUAAAGAGUCUUUAGGAAGGGGUGCUAUUUACUAUUAUAGUUUGCACAAAGGUACCCUAUAGUCUAGUGGUGGCUCUGUCAAACUAAUAUUGUUUCUUUUUUUGGGGGGUGGGGGAUGGAGUCUUGCUCUGUUGCCAGGCUGGAGUGCAGUGGCACGAUCUCGGCUCAUUGCAACCUCCGCCUCUCGGGUUCAAGCGAUUCUCCUGCCUCAGCCUCCCAAGUAGCUGGAAUUACAGGUCUGCACCACCAGGCCUGGCUAAUUUUUAUAUUUUGGUAGAGAUGGGGUUUCACCAUGUUGGCCAGGCUGAUCUUGAACUCCUGACCUCAGAUGAUCCGCCUGCCUUGGCCUCCCAAAGUGCUGGGAUUACAGGUGUGAGCCACCGCGCCCAGCCUGGGAAGGUUAUUUUCUGGCUUCGAGCCAUAGUGUCUUCGUCUCUGCCUAAGAGAUCAAUGGGAUUCUCAGACCUCUUCCAGCCCUGAAACAUCAUGACAGCUUUUUCUGUUUUCCCCAAAGUGAAUUCAAGGCUCUAGACUGUGGGCCACACAGCUGGGUACUCAGGACUCACACUAAGGGGGAACAAGGCACAGUCUUUG
rnacentral:lncRNA from 1 species